rnacentral:rRNA from 1 species
GUACCAGACUCCUCGGGAGGCAGCAGUGGGGAAUAUUGGGCAAUGGGCGCAAGCCUGACCCAGCAACGCCGCGUGAAGGAAGAAGGCUUUCGGGUUGUAAACUUCUUUUCUUGGGGACGAAGAAAGUGACGGUACCCAAGGAAUAAGCCACGGCUAACUACGUGCCAGCAGCCGCGGUAAUACGUAGGUGGCAAGCGUUAUCCGGAUUUAUUGGGUGUAAAGGGCGUGUAGGCGGGACUGCAAGUCAGAUGUGAAAACCAUGGGCUCAACCUAUGGCCUGCAUUUGAAACUGUAGUUCUUGAGUACUGGAGAGGCAGACGGAAUUCCUAGUGUAGCGGUGAAAUGCGUAGAUAUUAGGAGGAACACCAGUGGCGAAGGCGGUCUGCUGGACAGCAACUGACGCUGAGGCGCGAAAGCGUGGGGAGCAAACAGGAUUAGAUACCCGCGUAGA